UACGUAGGGUGCGAGCGUUGUCCGGAUUUAUUGGGCGUAAAGAGCGUGUAGGCGGCCAGGUAGGUCUGCUGUGAAAACUCGAGGCUCAACCUCGAGACGUCGGCGGAAACCAUCUGGCUAGAGUCCGGAAGAGGAGUGUGGAAUUCCCGGUGUAGCGGUGAAAUGCGCAGAUAUCGGGAAGAACACCCGUGGCGAAGGCGGCACUCUGGGACGGUACUGACGCUGAGACGCGAAAGCGUGGGGAGCGAACAGG
rnacentral:rRNA from 1 species